UCUUUGUCAACCGGAGGACUUGAGGCUUACAGGAAUGGGAGAAGCUUCUGCUAACUGCCAGGGCACAGGAACACAAAGCCUUCGUUCGGUUGAGGUUGGGGAAUGACUGCCCUUAGAAACAGAACACUAGACUACCAAGUGUGUGCGGUACUGACGCAAAGCCAACGCUCAGGUGCCCAUCGCCCUGCUCAGGGCCACUGGUACCGGAUGGCCAGAACCUAAACCACGCUUUGGUCCCGAGGCGGUCCUCCGGUUAAAGGAAGCCGGAUGUGGCUGACUGCCGAAAAGUCCACGGCAGGAAGGAGCCACAGACCCACCUUGGGGGCCUCAGGACUGCGCCUGCGUUCUCCGCGGUCGUGGGCGCCACGUCCCCAGCCCCGCCCGCACGAGCUUCGCGGGGAACCCCGGUGACGUCACCACCCGCUGCUGCGCCCUCCUUCGCGCGCUCUCCAGAAAGGACGCGAAGGUGGUGACGUGUCCGGAGCGCCAGCGCGGCUGCGCACAAGGAGGCGCGUGAUUAAGUUGCGGCGCCGCCUGGCGGAAGGACCGCGGCGGUGUGGCCGGGGACGAUGCGUGUCGGCAGCGCGGUGGCGUCAUCCCGCGGGGCCGGAGGACCGCGUGCUGCGCCGACCUCCCCUGGGCCAGUGUGGGCGGAAGCGUGGCUUCAUGCCCUGAGUUACUUGGUCUGCUGAACAGCUUGGCCGCGUCGCGCUCCGAGUCAUGAGAAGUUUGAGGACCGGGAAACAUGAAGAUAGGAGACUGUGUACUUUGUCUUCUACUGAAAACGUGUCUGAGGAAGGAACAGAAAGUACCACCUCUGGCAAUAUGAGCGGUUCCCCAUGAUACUGUUUCCCGAGAAA